rnacentral:rRNA from 1 species
UUUGAAAUCUGGCGUCUUUGGCGUCCGAGUUGUAAUUUGAAGAAGGUAUCUUUGGGCCCGGCUCUUGUCUAUGUUCCUUGGAACAGGACGUCACAGAGGGUGAGAAUCCCGUGCGAUGAGAUGACCCGGGUCUGUGUAAAGUUCCUUCGACGAGUCGAGUUGUUUGGGAAUGCAGCUCUAAGUGGGUGGUAAAUUCCAUCUAAAGCUAAAUAUUGGCGAGAGACCGAUAGCGAACAAGUACAGUGAUGGAAAGAUGAAAAGAACUUUGAAAAGAGAGUGAAAAAGUACGUGAAAUUGUUGAAAGGGAAGGGCUUGAGAUCAGACUUGGUAUUUUGCAUGCUGCUCUCUCGGGGGCGGCCGCUGCGGUUUACCGGGCCAGCAUCGGUUUGGAGCGGCAGGAUAAUGGCGGAGGAAUGUGGCACGGCUUCUGCUGUGUGUUAUAGCCUCUGACGAUACUGCCAGCCUAGACCGAGGACUGCGGUUUUUAACCUAGGAUGUUGGCAUAAUGAUCUUAAGUCGCCCGUCUUGAAACACGGACCAAGGAGUCUAACGUCUAUGCGAGUGUUUGGGUGUAAAACCCGUACGCGUAAUGAAAGUGAACGAAGGUGGGGGCCCAUUAGGGUGCACCAUCGACCGAUCCUGAUGUGUUCGGAUGGAUUUGAGUAAGAGCAUAGCUGUUGGGACCCGAAAGAUGGUGAACUAUGCCUGAAUAGGUGAAGCCAGAGGAAACUCUGGUGGAGGCUCGUAGCGGUUCUGACGU